rnacentral:rRNA from 1 species
CUACGGGUCGCACCAGUGAGGAAUAUUGCGCAAUGGACGAAAGUCUGACGCAGCCAUGCCGCGUGCAGGAUGACGGCGCUAUGCGUUGUAAACUGCUUUUAUAUGCCAAGAAACCUUCGGACGUGUCCGAAGCUGACGGUAGCAUAUGAAUAAGCACCGGCUAACUCCGUGCCAGCAGGCCGCGGUAAUACGGAGGGUGCAAGCGUUAUCCGGAUUUAUUGGGUUUAAAGGGUCCGUAGGCGGAUCAUUAAGUCAGUGGUGAAAGCCGGCAGCUCAACUGUCGAACUGCCAUUGAUACUGGUGAUCUUGAAUACGGUUGAAGUUGGCGGAAUAGGUCAUGUAGCGGUGAAAUGCUUAGAUAUGACCUAGAACACCGAUUGCGAAGGCAGCCAACUAAGCCGUUAUUGACGCUGAGGGACGAAAGCGUGGGGAGCGAACAGGAUUAGAUACCCUAGUAGUC